UUGUAGUUGCCAUCAUUCAGUUGGGCACUCUAGCGAGACUGCCGGUAAUAAACCGGAGGAAGGUGGGAUGACGUCAAAUCAUCAUGCCCUUAUGACCUGGGCUACACACGUGCUACAAUGGUUGGUACAACGAGUUGCGAGUCGGUGACGGCGAGCUAAUACUCUUAAAGCCAAUCUCAGUUCGGAUUGUAGGCUGCAACUCGCCUACAUGAAGUCGGAAUCGCUAGUAAUCGCGGAUCAGCACGCCGCGGUGAAUACGUUCCCGGGCCUU
rnacentral:rRNA from 1 species